UCUACAUGCUUGCUCGAGCGCCAGUCAGUGUGAUAUGAUAACUGCAGAAUUCUUCCUUAGUUGAUCCUGGCUCUACAUGAACGCUAGCGGCAGGCCUAACACAUGCUAGUCGAGGGGUAACAGGGAGUAGCUUGCUACUUUGCUGACGACCGGUGCACGGGUGCGUAACGCGUAUACAAUCUGCUUUGUACUGGGGGAUAGCCUUUAGAAAUGAAGAUCAAUAUCAAUAGUAUAUGACUGUGGCAUCACAGCCAUAUUAAAAGUUACGGUACAAGAUGAGUAUGCGUCCUAUUAGCUAGAUGGUGUGGUAACGGCACACCAUGGCGACGAUAGGUAGGGGCCCUGAGAGGGGGAUCCCCCACACUGGUACUGAGACACGGACCAGACUCCUACGGGAGGCAGCAGUGAGGAAUAUUGGACAAUGGAGGCAACUCUGAUCCAGCCAUGCCGCGUGCAGGAAGACUGCCCUAUGGGUUGUAAACUGCUUUUAUACGGGAAGAAACACCCCCACGUGUGGGGGCUUGACGGUACCGUAAGAAUAAGCACCGGCUAACUCCGUGCCAGCAGCCGCGGUAAUACGGAGGGUGCAAGCGUUAUCCGGAAUCAUUGGGUUUAAAGGGUCCGUAGGCGGACGAUUAAGUCAGAGGUGAAAGUCUGCAGCUCAACUGUAGAAUUGCCUUUGAUACUGGUUGUCUUGAAUUAUUGGAAGUGGUUAGAAUAAGUAGUGUAGCGGUGAAAUGCAUAGAUAUUACUUAGAAUACCAAUUGCGAAGGCAGAUCACUAACAAUAUAUUGACGCUGAGGGACGAAAGCGUGGGGCGAACAGGGAUUAGAUACCCUGGUAGUCCACGCCGUAAACGAUGGAUACUAGCU
rnacentral:rRNA from 1 species